rnacentral:rRNA from 1 species
AUGCGUGCAGGGCCGUUGGGAUUGCCGUGGAGAGCGAUGAGGAGAAGAGCAGGCACUUCGCCUGCAGGCUGUGAUUUGGAGAGACGGGAGGAGACUGACUGUGUGGACCACAUUCUUGCCCAUUGUGCCUACGCCAGAGAGGUUUGGCAUCGAUGCUUCGAUGCCCUACAGAUUAAUGUGUUGGUGCCGAACACUGAGGAGAAGUUCACUGACUGGUGGCUGCGGCAAACAAGAAGUUUUUCGAGGAAAGUUCUUCGUGGAUUUGACUCCUUCAUCUUAGCUACAGCCUGGGCGCUGUGGAAGCAAAGAAAUGCGAGAAUCUUCAAUAAAAUCCAACAACAGAGAACCCCACCAGAGCUUGUUAGGAUUGUGUUGGCCGAGAUCAAAGAAUGGAAGCUUGCAGGCAUUGGAGCUGGAGGAUUAGAUCCUUUCGUGAGAGAGUAG